AUUGAACGCUGGCGGCAGGCUUAACACAUGCAAGUCGAGCGGAGAUGAGGUGCUUGCACCUUAUCUUAGCGGCGGACGGGUGAGUAAUGCUUAGGAAUCUGCCUAUUAGUGGGGGACAACAUUCCGAAAGGAAUGCUAAUACCGCAUACGUCCUACGGGAGAAAGCAGGGGAACUUCGGACCUUGCCCUAAUAGAUGAGCCUAAGUCGGAUUAGCUAGUUGGUGGGGUAAAGGACUACCAAGGCGACGAUCUGAAGCGGGUCUGAGAGGAUGAGCCGCCACACUGGGACUGAGACACGGCCCAGACUCCUACGGGAGGCAGCAGUGGGGAAUAUUGGACAAUGGGGGGAACCCUGAUCCAGCCAUGCCGCGUGUGUGAAGAAGGCCUUAUGGUUGUAAAGCACUUUAAGCGAGGAGGAGGCUACUGAGACUAAUACUCUUGGAUAGUGGACGUUACUCGCAGAAUAAGCACCGGCUAACUCUGUGCCAGCCGCCGCCGUAAAAC
rnacentral:rRNA from 1 species